CAGUAGCCGCGGUAAUACGAGGGGGGCAAGCGUUGUUCGGAAUUAUUGGGCGUAAAGGGCGCGUAGGCGGUUUGGCAAGUUUGGUGUGAAAUCUUCGGGCUCAACUCGAAGUCUGCACCGAAAACUGCCGGGCUUGAGUAUGGGAGAGGUGAGUGGAAUUUCCGGUGUAGCGGUGAAAUGCGUAGAUAUCGGAAGGAACACCUGUGGCGAAAGCGGCUCACUGGACCAUUACUGACGCUGAGGCGCGAAAGCUAGGGGAGCAAACAGGAUUAGAUACCCCAGUAGUCCCUGUCUCUUAUAC
rnacentral:rRNA from 1 species